rnacentral:rRNA from 1 species
UGGGGAAUUUUGGACAAUGGGGGAAACCCUGAUCCAGCCAUCCCGCGUGUGCGAUGAAGGCCUUCGGGUUGUAAAGCACUUUUGGCAGGAAAGAAACGUCAUGGGUUAAUACCCCGUGAAACUGACGGUACCUGCAGAAUAAGCACCGGCUAACUACGUGCCAGCAGCCGCGGUAAUACGUAGGGUGCAAGCGUUAAUCGGAAUUACUGGGCGUAAAGCGUGCGCAGGCGGUUCGGAAAGAAAGAUGUGAAAUCCCAGAGCUCAACUUUGGAACUGCAUUUUUAACUACCGGGCUAGAGUGUGUCAGAGGGAGGUGGAAUUCCGCGUGUAGCAGUGAAAUGCGUAGAUAUGCGGGGGAACACCGAUGGCGAAGGCAGCCUCCUGGGAUAACACUGACGCUCAUGCACGAAAGCGUGGGGGGCAAACAGG